CCUACGGGUGGCAGCCGUGGGGACUAUUGGGCACUGGAGGAAACUCUGACCCAGCAACGCCGCGUGCAGGAUGAAGGUUUUCGGAUUUUAAACUUCUGUCGCGAGGGAUGAAGAAUGACGGUACCUCGUCAGAAAGCCCCGGCAAACUACGUGCCAGCAGCCUCGGUAAUACGUAGUUGUCGAGCGUUGUCCGGAUGGACUGGGCGUAAAGGGAGUGUAGGCGGCAUAUUAAGUUAUGUGUGAACGCCCGCGGCUCAACCGCGGAAUUGCACAUAAAACUGGUAAGCUGGAGUGCAGGAGAGGUAAGUGGAAUUCCCGGUGUAGCGGUGGAAUGCGUAGAUAUCGGGAGGAACACCAGAGGCGAAGGCGACUUACUGGACUGUAACUGACGCUGAGGCUCGAAAGCGUGGGGAGCAAACAGGAUUAGAUACCCCAGUAGUC
rnacentral:rRNA from 1 species